CUACCAGUUUUCGAUUACAGAUGACUUAAUCUAACAACCACCAUCCAGUAAGUGUGAGGACUGUGCUAAGUGCCAUGAGAAACUCAGGACACACUGCAAGAGCCUGGCACUUACUGAGGCUCAGAAAACAAUACCCCAAAGUCUGGCACUUUGGCAUGCUGGGAAGGGUCCUGUCCUGUACCCGGGAGGAAGAAAUGCUACACAGAGAAGCCAAGAUGAAUCUGAACAGACAGCCUUUGUCAGUUCCACAGAUUCCAUAAAAGUUAACUCCAGAGCAGAGAAUGAUGCCACAGUCGGGAUAACAUCCAAUAUUUGCAAUCAGAAGAAAUAUGAGAGUCUUGCUCCAUCACCCAGGCUGCAGUGCAGUGGCACGAUCUUGGCUCA
rnacentral:lncRNA from 1 species